rnacentral:rRNA from 1 species
AGUCGAGCGGUAACAUUUCUAGCUUGCUAGAAGAUGACGAGCGGCGGACGGGUGAGUAAUGCUUGGGAAUAUGCCUUAGGGUGGGGGACAACAGUUGGAAACGACUGCUAAUACCGCAUAACGUCUACGGACCAAAGGGGGCUUCGGCUCUCGCCCUUAGAUUAGCCCAAGUGGGAUUAGCUAGUUGGUGAGGUAAUGGCUCACCAAGGCGACGUUCCCUAGCUGGUUUGAGAGGAUGAUCAGCCACACUGGAACUGAGACACGGUCCAGACUCCUACGGGAGGCAGCAGUGGGGAAUAUUGCACAAUGGGCGCAAGCCUGAUGCAGCC